CUUAGAGAGCACAGGCAGGUAGAGCUGUCUGUCUCCUCACCUUAGAGAGCACAGGCAGGUAGAGCUGUCUGUCUCCUCACCUUAGAGAGCACAGGCAGGUAGAGCUGUCUGUCUCCUCACCUUAGAGAGCACAGGCAGGUAGAGCUGUCUGUCUCCUCACCUUAGAGAGCACAGGCAGGUAGAGCUGUCUGUCUCCUCACCUUAGAGAGCACAGGCAGGUAGAGCUGUCUGUCUCCUCACCUUAGAGAGCACAGGCAGGUAGAGCUGUCUGUCUCCUCACCUUAGAGAGCACAGGCAGGUAGAGCUGUCUGUCUCCUCACCUUAGAGAGCACAGGCAGGUAGAGCUGUCUGUCUCCUCACCUUAGAGAGCACAGGCAGGUAGAGCUGUCUGUCUCCUCACCUUAGAGAGCACAGGCAGGUAGAGCUGUCUGUCUCCUCACCUUAGAGAGCACAGGCAGGUAGAGCUGUCUGUCUCCUCACCUUAGAGAGCACAGGCAGGUAGAGCUGUCUGUCUCCUCACCUUAGAGAG